rnacentral:rRNA from 1 species
UACAGAGGUCCCGAGCGUUGUUCGGAUUCACUGGGCGUAAAGGGUGCGCAGGUGGGUUGGCAAGUUUGAUGUGAAAGCCCCGGGCUUAACCCGGGAAUGGCAUUGAAUACUGCUGAUCUGGAGGAUCGGAGGGGGGACUGGAAUUCUUGGUGUAGCAGUGAAAUGCGUAGAUAUCAAGAGGAACACCAGUGGCGAAGGCGAGUCCCUGGACGAUACCUGACACUGGGCGACGAAAGCCGGGGGAGCAAACAGG